rnacentral:rRNA from 1 species
UACGGAGGGCGCAAGCGUUGUUCGGAAUCAUUGGGCGUAAAGCGCGUGUAGGUGGCUUGGCAAGUCGGUUGUGAAAUCCCUGGGCCUAACCCAGGAACUGCGUCCGAAACUGCUUGGCUAGAGUCCUGGAGAGGAAGGCAGAAUUCCCAGUGUAGGGGUUAAAUCCGUAGAUACUGGGAGGAAUACCCGUAGCGAAGGCGGCCUUCUGGACAGUGACUGACACUCAGACGCGAAAGCGUGGGGAGCAAACAGG